rnacentral:rRNA from 1 species
UCCGGUUGAUACUGCCGGCGGCCACCGCUAUUGGAAUUCGAUUAAGACAUGCGAGUCGAGAGUCUUAGGGACUCGGCGGACGGCUCAGUAACACGUGGAUAAUCUGCCCUUGGGAGGGGGAUAACCUCGAGAAAUUGAGAAUAAUACCCAUAGAUCAUAGGUGCUGGAACUCGCCCUAUGGUUUAAAGCUCCGGCGCCCAAGGAUGAGUCUGCGGCCUAUCAGGUUGUGGUGGGUGUAACGGACCCACUAGCCAGUGACGGGUACGGGCGUUGGGAGACGUUGCCCGGAGAUGGAUUCUGAGACACGAAUCCAGGCCCUACGGGGCGCAGCAGUUACGAAAACUUCACAAUGUGGGAAACCACGAUGAGGGAAUUCCAAGUGCAUGCACAUUGUGUAUGCUGUUCACUUGCCUAAAAAGCAUGUGAAGUAAGGGCUGGGUAAGACAGGUGCCAGCCGCCGCGGUAAUACCUGCAGCCCGAGUGGUGGUCAAUAUUAUUGAGCCUAAAGCGUCCGUAGCCUGGUCGGUAAAUCCUUGGGUAAAUCGGGCAGCUUAACUGUCCGACUUCCGAGGAGACUGCUGACCUUGGGACCGGGAGAGGUCUGAGGUACUCUAGGGGUAGGGGUAAAAUCCUGUAAUCCUUAGAGGACCACCAGUGACGAAGGCGUCAGACUAGAACGGAUCCGACGGUAAGGGACGAAGCCCUGGGGCGCAAACGGGAUUAGAUACCCCGGUAGUCCAGGGUGUAAACGCUGCAGGCUUGGUGUCGGGGGUCCUGCGAGGGCGUCCGGUGCCGGAGAGAAGUUGUUAAGCCUGCCGCUUGGGGAGUACGUUCGCAAGAAUGAAACUUAAAGGAAUUGGCGGGAGAGCUCCGCAACGGGAGGAGCGUGCGGUUUAAUUGAUUCAACGCCGGAAAACUCACCGGGAGCGUCGAUUACAUGAAGGCCAAGCCGAUGACUUUGCCUGAUUAAUCGAUAGGUGUUGCAUGGCCGUCGUCAGUUCGUACCGUAGGGCGUUCUGUUAAGUCAGAUAACGAACGAGACCCUCGCCCUUAGUUGCCAGCCUGUUCUUCGGAGCAGAGGAACAUUAAGGGGACCGCUAGCGCUAAGCUGGAGGAAGGAGAGGUCAACGGUAGGUCAGUAUGGCCCGAAUCUCCCGGGCAACACGCGCGCUACAAAGGGUGGGACAAUGGGCUCCGACGCCGAAAGGCGAAGGCAAUCUCGAAACCCAUCCGUAGUUCGGAUUGAGGGCUGUAACCCGCCCUCAUGAAUGCUGGAUUCCGUAGUAAUCGCGGGUCAACAUCCCGCGGUGAAUGUGCCCCUGCUCUUUGCACACACCGCCCGUCAAACCACCCGAGUUGGGUCUUAGUGAGGAUGCUCAUUUUUGGGGCGUUCGAACUGAGGUUCAGCAAGGAGGGUUAAGUCGUAACAAGGUA